rnacentral:misc_RNA from 1 species
ACGCAUCUCAAGGCGGAGGCGGGCGAGCCCAGCUCCGGGAACCAGUCGGUCCCGUGCAGCGGGUUCCCCGUCGACGUCAAAAACCCUUGCAAAACCCACUGUGCACCUCUGCGGCGGAAGGCUGGCAACGGCCGGAUGCUGCUUCACUAAACUCUGGUAAAACGAAUGUCUUGCGGCGCAUUGCGCUGCCCAUUAAACUUGA